rnacentral:rRNA from 1 species
UACGUAGGGUGCAAGCGUUGUCCGGAAUUAUUGGGCGUAAAGAGCUCGUAGGCGGUCUGUCGCGUCGGCUGUGAAAACUCGGGGCUCAACCCCGAGCCUGCAGUCGAUACGGGCAGACUAGAGUGCGGUAGGGGAGACUGGAAUUCCUGGUGUAGCGGUGGAAUGCGCAGAUAUCAGGAGGAACACCGGUGGCGAAGGCGGGUCUCUGGGCAGUAACUGACGCUGAGGAGCGAAAGCGUGGGGAGCGAACAGG